rnacentral:rRNA from 1 species
CGAAGCGAUUUAGCGGAAGUUUUCGGAUGGAAGUUAAAUUGACUGAGCGGCGGACGGGUGAGUAACGCGUGGGUAACCUGCCUCAUACAGGGGGAUAACAGUUAGAAAUGACUGCUAAUACCGCAUAAGCGCACAGCAUCGCAUGAUGCAGUGUGAAAAACUCCGGUGGUAUGAGAUGGACCCGCGUCUGAUUAGCUAGUUGGUGAGGUAAAGGCCCACCAAGGCGACGAUCAGUAGCCGACCUGAGAGGGUGAUCGGCCACAUUGGGACUGAGACACGGCCCAAACUCCUACGGGAGGCAGCAGUGGGGAAUAUUGCACAAUGGGGGAAACCCUGAUGCAGCAACGCCGCGUGAGUGAAGAAGUAUUUCGGUAUGUAAAGCUCUAUCAGCAGGGAAGAAAAUGACGGUACCUGACUAAGAAGCCCCGGCUAACUACGUGCCAGCAGCCGCGGUAAUACGUAGGGGGCAAGCGUUAUCCGGAUUUACUGGGUGUAAAGGGAGCGUAGACGGCGGAGCAAGUCUGAAGUGAAAGCCCGGGGCUUAAUCCCCGGGACUGCUUUGGAAACUGUUUUGCUAGAGUGCUGGAGAGGUAAGUGGAAUUCCUAGUGUAGCGGUGAAGUGCGUAGAUAUUAGGAGG